rnacentral:tRNA from 1 species
GAGAUAUUAGUAAAACCAUUACAAAUCCUUGUCAAGGAUUCAUUACUAGUUAAAACCUUGUAUACCUCU